AACGAACGCUGGCGGCAGGCCUAACACAUGCAAGUCGAACGCCGUAGCAAUACGGAGUGGCAGACGGGUGAGUAACACGUGGGAACGUACCCUUCGGUUCGGAAUAACUCAGGGAAACUUGAGCUAAAACCGGAUACGUCCGAGAGGAGAAAGAUUUAUCGCCGAGGGAUCGGCCCGCGUCUGAUUAGCUUGUUGGUGAGGUAACGGCUCACCAAGGCGACGAUCAGUAGCUGGUCUGAGAGGAUGAUCAGCCACAUUGGGACUGAGACACGGCCCAAACUCCUACGGGAGGCAGCAGUGGGGAAUAUUGGACAAUGGGCGCAAGCCUGAUCCAGCCAUGCCGCGUGAGUGAUGAAGGCCCUAGGGUUGUAAAAUUCUUUCACCGGGGACGAUAAUGACGGUACCCGGAGAAGAAGCCCCGGCUAACUUCGUGCCAGCCGCCGCUGUAAU
rnacentral:rRNA from 1 species